rnacentral:rRNA from 1 species
UACGUAGGGUGCAAGCGUUAAUCGGAAUUACUGGGCGUAAAGCGUGCGCAGGCGGUUUUGUAAGCUUGUCGUGAAAUCCCCGGGCUCAACCUGGGAAUGGCGAUGAAGACUGCAAGGCUAGAGUUUGGCAGAGGGGGGUAGAAUUCCACGUGUAGCAGUGAAAUGCGUAGAUAUGUGGAGGAACACCGAUGGCGAAGGCAGGUCUCUGGGCUGACACUGAC